UAGGCAGCCACACAGCUACAAACAAGGGUGGAUUUCAGAGCUCAGGGGCUCCGGCACAUUUCUGGCACCUGCGGGCUUCCCAUGCCAUUUGGUUGCCAUGGAGCAUGGAGACAGCAGGUGGCUGGAGGUGGCUCCCCAGGUAACACGGACAUUCCUGAGCUCAAAGAGUUUUGCAUCCGUGCAGCCAGCCCACGGGGUCCCGAGAGACUCUCUUGUCUCAGGAGGGUUUGACAUCCUCAUUCCCUUAUGUCCUAGGCACCGCUAGGAUGCUGUUUACUCUGCCAAGGGAAUGAACUCCCUGCCAGUCAGUUCAGACCCAACCACUGUUCAAGCUUUAUGACUUAAGACCACAAAAACUGGAAAAAUUGCUUUCGAGAAAACGCCCCUUUUUUGGUGUGUUUCUCCAGUACCUGGCAAGGAGCCUAGAUGAGUGAUCAAUUGUUGAUGAUCGAUAACUAUCUGCUGAGAAUAUACCUACGAGCGAAAUAGCAACAAAAAUGUAUUGAGACCUACUUAGUGUGAGCUUAUCUCCACCCUGUGAUCGCUGGUUUCAUGAGAGAACCAGAUGCGCAUGUGAGAAACCUUCCUCGUUUUUCCCCGAGAACUUCUGCAGAGGAGGUGUGACAAAGCCAUUUACGCUAACAGUAUGAUGUGGUGUAGAGAUGGAGAUAAUGGAGGCUUGCCAGGUCUGACCUUGAAGAAUAUUCCAGAAAACUCCAGAAACUGUAUGAAAGAGGCCACAGAAAUAAAGGCAGAAGCAAACAAACAAAUUGUGACCAGAAAUUAUUCGGUGGGAAAUAACAUAAAUUAAAAUAAGAUCUAAUCGACUCCAUUCUGUAUGCCUUUCUGUUGUACUGUGUGUGUGUGUGUGUGUGUGUGUGUGUGUGUGUGUCCGAGAACCUGCUGGGACCAUCUGUUAAAUGUUUAUUUCCAUUGUUACUUCGGAGGUGCCAGAAAAGCCUGUGAAGGAAAGAAAGAGGAAAAUAGCUUUUUAAGAUCAUUGGAAGAUGAUCAAGAAAAGGAAAAGCCAGGAGCCAAAUUCAGCCUCAAGUUCUGUCCAUCUUUUUAUAACCAGAAAGUUCUAGAAUAGGCAAGUCUACCUUUUCAGAGAAUUAUUACCUCCAUCUCUGCUUGUUUCCUCGUUGUUGAUACCACUCUUUCAUGGUAGAGGAAGUGGAGUACUUAGGAGGGAGACAUUUUGUCAUUUGUCAAUACUUCUUUGCAAGGACAGAGGAAAUGGAGCAAAGACAGGAAACAAACCAUUUUACUUUACUUGUUAGCUCUUCUGGAAAAUAGUUUGAGAAUAAGGAUGAAGUCUUCAGCCAAAAUAAGGUACAAGAGCUUGUCUGUACAAUUUAAUUAUUCAUGCUUUCCCUUCCUACAAUUAGUCUGGAUAAUCAAAUACUGAGUGACCCAGAAAGACUGAAAGACAAUGGAACAUUUUCCAGUGGCCUCACAUGCUCCUAAGGUUUAAUCCUUCUUGCUGACAGCCAAGAAUAGCUUCAUCGUGGAAAAAUUGAAGAAGAAAGUAAUUAGCAUCCCUGAACAAACCUUGAAAGUUUGUGUUUACAUUGGAUUAAAUUCAUAAAAGGAAAAACUGGGUUUUUCUGCUCUCCGAACUAUAAAAAUUUGGGCAGACAAUACUUAAAGUGCCAGCAGCUUCAGAGUCAAUUACCUUAAACCUUGUUGCCAAAAACUAAUUUUAUUUGGUGAAAAGCAAAGUGAGAGUCUACUGGUUUGGCCCAAACCUCAAAUUAGCUUGCAAAUGACAAAUUCUCAUUUUUUUCCAUCAAAAUAAAAUAGCUCCACUUAGACAUUGUGUAUUUCUAGGAGAUUGAAACCAACAUAUAGAACUUACCUUUAAAUACUGUAACCACUUAACAAAGGCCUGGGGGCACUUUUGGCUAGAAUACAACACAGCAGCGUCUGGUAAAAAGUCCAUCUGUUUAAGGAAAGUUAUAGCGAGAUUUCUGUAUUUUAUGGAAAAAAUUACUUUAGGUUCAUCCUAUGGAAGCAAAGGAUUGUAGUGCUUUACAUGAACUCUCAUUUCAU